AACGAACGCUGGCGGCAUGCCUAACACAUGCAAGUCGAACGAGACCUUCGGGUCUAGUGGCGCACGGGUGCGUAACACGUGGGAAUCUGCCCUUUGCUUCGGAAUAACAGUUAGAAAUGACUGCUAAUACCGGAUGAUGUCGAAAGACCAAAGAUUUAUCGGAAAAGGAUGAGCCCGCGUAGGAUUAGGUAGUUGGUGGGGUAAAGGCCUACCAAGCCGACGAUCCUUAGCUGGUCUGAGAGGAUGAUCAGCCACACUGGGACUGAGACACGGCCCAGACUCCUACGGGAGGCAGCAGUGGGGAAUAUUGGACAAUGGGCGAAAGCCUGAUCCAGCAAUGCCGCGUGAGUGAUGAAGGCCUUAGGGUUGUAAAGCUCUUUUACCAGGGAUGAUAAUGACAGUACCUGGAGAAUAAGCUCCGGCUAACUCCGUG
rnacentral:rRNA from 1 species